AGGAAGACAUGCCAAAAUUAGAAGAUGGUGGUGUCUUCUCUUACUUCACAAAGCCAGCAUUAAAAGCCAAGACAUCGGUCUUCACUUUCCACACGAGAAGAAGGACAUUCUGUGUACCACAGUGCCUAGUAGUAUGGAAAGUGUGGUCCUCACAAAGGCACAGCCCUGUCAGAAAUCAACCAAUCUAGAAUGGAGUGAUCAUUUACUUCAGGUAAACACUUUCCAUUAUGUAUCACUUUUUACAUGUAGCAUUUCUAUUGUAAUAUGUUUGGGUGAAUGUUUCAGCAGUUUUUAAAGCAUGCUUACUAAACUGGGAACAAUUAAAUUACAUAUUAUUUGAAAUGAUGAAUUUGGCCUUCACAAGUGACAAUACUGUGGUAAUUGAACUCUUUGUCUUUCAGGGACUCACUUCAGUACAAUUCCUGUAGACGUUCAGAUUGAACUGAAAUGGGUCUUACAGCAAUGUAUUAGUAAAUAAAAAUGAAUGCUUUUUUCACUACAGAGCACUUAGUCAUUUUGAGUUAUUUGUGCACUUUCUGAAUGGUUUCUAACUAGACAUGACAUUACCUUAAACAUGAACUGCUCUGGUUGUACACUGGAGUUUAUUUUUUUUAUUUUUCACUCUACCUCAUGCCUACAGGCAGUAGAGACAAAAAGCGAGAGAAAUCAAUUGAGCUGAGCAUUCCUAUGACAUGCUGUGGUCAUAUUGUCUUCAUUGAUCCAAAACAUCCUGGCUGCUUGUGACUGGCUGGAUGCCAACAAAGACCAACUUGUUGGGACAGUCCUCCGGCCAAGAAUUCUGGAAAUGGACGAGGAUGAAGUCACAUACACAAUUGAAAAAUUAGAACAAAGGGGAGACGAUGAAGAGACUGAAGAAGUCCUGUCCACCUUGUUAUUUACUUUUGAAUGCCUGAAGGACAUGAACUUUUUUCUUGAUGAAAUACGGGGUAAAAAAAAUAUUCCCAUC